GAUGAAGAACGUAGCGAAUUGCGAUAUGUAAUGUGAAUUGCAGAAUUCAGUGAAUCAUCGAAUCUUUGAACGCACAUUGCACCCUUUGGCAUUCCAAAGGGUAUGCCUGUUUGAGAGUCAUUAAUACAUCAACGCUUUGAGGCUUUUCAAGCCUUGCUGCGCUUGGACGUUGAAGGCUUUGCUGAAGAUAAAUCAUCAUCAGCUCCUUUAAAAUUCAUUAGCAGGACCAUGUAGAACCAGCUCCAGUUUGAUAAUGUGAUUUAUCUGAUCUGUUGCCGGUGAACCCAGGUAUUGCUUAUAAUUGUCCCGUCCUAAGGGGGGACUGUCCCUUUGGGGCAAAGCAUAAUUUGAUUCUUGACCUCAAAUCAGGUAGGACUACCCGCUGAACUUAAGCAUAUCAAUAAGCGGAGGA
rnacentral:misc_RNA from 1 species